rnacentral:ncRNA from 1 species
CAAGCGUUGGAUUGUUCAUCCACUAAUUGGGAACGUGAGCUGGGUUCAGACCGUCUUCAGACAGGUUAGUUUUAUCCUACUAAUGAGUACAGUAAUCAGUGAAGUACAGUCUGGUCGUUGCUAUGGUAAUCCUGUUUAGUACGAGAGGAACCGAAGGUUCAUACAAUUGGUAUAUGUGCCUGGUCGAAAGGCCAAUGGUGUGAAGCUACCAUCUUAGGGAUUAAGACUGAACGCCUCUAAGUCUGAAUCCCGUCCAUAUUUGCAACGGUACAUUCUGUAUCCGACACGUGGCUGUGCAAGCUUACGUAUUCCUUUCGGUGUCUGGACUGGACCAUGUGCUCGGCGAGGCCCAUUAGGUCUGGUGUCACGCCAGAGCGAUGACCACAAACUACGCUUCAGAUUUCGGGGUGUAGGGGUCGACACGAUAUCUAAUUGUGGUAUGAACGUGAGGAUAUUAAAUCGUUUGUAGACGACUUAAUGUUUUGUCAGAGAGACGUAAGUGCUCGAGCAGCUAUUACACUGCGAGGCAUUGAGUUCUAUCCCUGCUUGUUGGGAAAUAC